CCUGUAGCUCAGUUGGUUAGAGCGCCGCCCUGUCACGGCGGAGGUCGCCGGUUCAAGUCCGGUCAG
rnacentral:tRNA from 1 species